rnacentral:pre_miRNA from 1 species
CUUGUACUCCCUCCGUCCGGAAAUACUUGUCAUUGAAAUGGAUGUAUCUAGAUGUAUUUUAGUUCUAGACACAUCCAUUUUGAUGACAAGUAAUUCCGGAUGGAGGGAGUACUUG